UACGAAGGGGGCUAGCGUUGUUCGGAAUCACUGGGCGUAAAGGGCGCGUAGGCGGCUUUAUAAGUCGGGGGUGAAAGCCUGUGGCUCAACCACAGAAUUGCCUUCGAUACUGUAGAGCUUGAGACCGGAAGAGGUAAGUGGAACUGCGAGUGUAGAGGUGAAAUUCGUAGAUAUUCGCAAGAACACCAGUGGCGAAGGCGGCUUACUGGUCCGGUUCUGACGCUGAGGCGCGAAAGCGAGGGGAGCAAACAGG
rnacentral:rRNA from 1 species